rnacentral:rRNA from 1 species
GACGAGGGGUCCUAGCGUUGUUCGGAAUCACUGGGCGUAAAGCGUUUGUAGGCGGCCCUAUAAGUCGGGUGUGAAAUCCCACGGCUCAACCGUGGAAGUGCAUUCGAAACUGUAGGGCUUGAAUAUGGUAGAGGAGAGUAGAAUUCCUGGUGUAGUGGUGAAAUACGUAGAUAUCAGGAGGAAUACCGGUGGCGAAGGCGGCUCUCUGGACCAAUAUUGACGCUGAGAAACGAAAGUGCGGGGAUCAAACAGG